rnacentral:lncRNA from 1 species
UGGACAUAGGGAACCAGUAGCAAUGUAAAGGAGGAACAUCUAACUGUCUAACCUCCACACUGUGCCACAAAUUCCAUGGAUUUGUAUGGCGGUGAUGGUAAUUUGGAGCAUCCUCCUUUACACAGGCUACACUGAGCUCAUUAAAACCCCCAAAAAGGCUUAUGAAACUCUAGCUCAUCCAUCUCCCAUGGAGAAAAAGGGACCCAGGCCAGAUUCUUUCUUCUCCUUCAUCCUACCAGUUCACCCUGAAAAGCCCAAACCUAGUUUGAAUCAUGCUUAGCCAAGGAGACCUAGUAGGAAUCCAUGGCUCCUUUUUCUUGCUCUGCAAUGUCUUCCUACUACCUGUCCCCUCCUCUGUGAUUACAUUUGAAAUCUCUUUCACAAAGGAUUUUAAAAAUUAAAGAAAGCUAAUCAUG